rnacentral:lncRNA from 1 species
UAGAUCUCUGUCCUGAGAUACAGCAACAGGAUGUGCCUUGGAGAAGACAGGUGAAAUUGAGAGAGAGAUUUAUGCAUAUUCCCCACCCAGUCCAAUGUACUGCUUAAAUGAAAAUUAGCCUGAACUUUCGGGAGUAUCCAAGGAUUCUGAAGGUUCUGUUGGUCUGCAAGUAAGCUGGGGCAUACAAGCAAGAGCGGAGAAUUCUGCCAGUGUUUUCGACAGGAAAUUUCAGAGGUAAGAAAGAGCGCGCACACACACACACACACACACAAAAAAAAAAAAAAAAAAAAAAAAGACGAUAAAGACGACAUUUCUUUCUCUACACCUGGGAGCCACUCUUACCUCUUAGAGAAAAAAGAGGCCUUCCAGUUUCAGUUUGCUAUUACAGACUUCUAACUAGUCCGUAUGAAUGGACCAUUCUCUGGCAUUUGUGACUUUGGAAAUGAAUAUUUAUUGAAUUAAACUUCUAUCAAAAGUGUUUCUUUAGACUACAGGAAGAGGAAUGUUUGCUCUCUACAAAAUACAUCAUGCACUUUCUUUCAGAAAUAAUUUGUACUGUGAAAAACUACUGCAAGAGAAGGGGAGACAUCAGAUCAAUGGC